GGUGGAUUGCCAGAGCAGACGAAUGGACCCGACUGUAACUCGGGCGCUUCACAGCCGCGCAGGUGCGAAUCCUGCAUCCACCAC
rnacentral:tRNA from 1 species